CCUACGGGAGGCAGCAGUGAGGGAUAUUGGUCAAUGGGGGAAACCCUGAACCAGCAACGCCGCGUGAGGGAAGACGGUUUUCGGAUUGUAAACCUCUGUCCUCUGUGAAGAUAAUGACGGUAGCAGAGGAGGAAGCUCCGGCUAACUACGUGCCAGCAGCCGCGGUAAUACGUAGGGAGCAAGCGUUGUCCGGAUUUACUGGGUGUAAAGGGUGCGUAGGCGGCCUUGCAAGUCAGAAGUGAAAUCCAUGGGCUUAACUUGUAGACUGCAGUUGAAACUGGUUUUCUUGAGUGAAGUAGAGGUUGGCGGAAUUCCGAGUGUAGCGGUGAAAUGCGUAGAUAUUCGGAGGAACACCGGUGGCGAAGGCGGCCAACUGGGCUUUAACUGACGCUGAGGCUCGAAAGUGUGGGGAGCAAACAGGAUUAGAUACCCUUGUAGUC
rnacentral:rRNA from 1 species